GCCGGGUGUGGUGGUGAGCGCCUGUAAUCCCAGCUACUCGGGAGGCUGAGGCAGGAGAAUCACUUGAACCCAGGAGGCGGAGGAUGCCGUGAGCUGAGAUCACACCAUUGCACUCUAGCCUGGGCAACAAAGUGAGACCCUGUCUCAA
rnacentral:sRNA from 1 species